GAUGAACGCUGGCGGCGUGCCUAAUACAUGCAAGUCGAGCGAACAGACGAGGAGCUUGCUCCUCUGACGUUAGCGGCGGACGGGUGAGUAACACGUGGAUAACCUACCUAUAAGACUGGGAUAACUUCGGGAAACCGGAGCUAAUACCGGAUAACAUGCUGAACCGCAUGGUUCAACAGUGAAAGACGGUUUUGCUGUCACUUAUAGAUGGAUCCGCGUCGCAUUAGCUAGUUGGUAAGGUAACGGCUUACCAAGGCAACGAUGCGUAGCCGACGUGAGAGAGUGAUCGGCCACACUGGAACUGAGACACGGUCCAGACUCCUACGGGAGGCAGCAGUAGGGAAUCUUCCGCAAUGGGCGAAAGCCUGACGGAGCAACGCCGCGUGAGUGAAGAAGGUCUUCGGAUCGUAAAACUCUGUUAUGAGGGAAGAACAAAUGUGUAAGUAACUAUGCACGUCUUGACGGUACCUAAUCAGAAAGCCCCGGCUAACUACGUG
rnacentral:rRNA from 1 species